GGGGGAAGAUAGUUUUCAUUAUUCAAUUUUCGAGUAUUUCGUAGCGUGUUGAAUUAUUAUUGUCGAACCAUACGUACAAAAACAUUGUUAAAAGGGAUUGUUGUAGGACAGAAAUAUCGCCGUCGUGACAGCGGAUGUUGAAUAGUGCGUGGGGUCUGGCAGAUCCUCAGGGACCACACCUUUUAUAUAUGAUAUAUUAUAUGUGUGAAAGAUCGCGGUUCCUAUACUCGGUGACUUGAAAGGUGCGGUUUGUAUAAUAAUGAAAGAUGAAAGUGUAUUGUAU